CAAGGUUAACCGAAUAGGGGAGCCGGAGGGAAACCGAGUCUUAAUUGGGCGUUAAGUUGCAGGGUAUAGACCCGAAACCCGGUGAUCUAGCCAUGGGCAGGUUGAAGGUUGGGUAACACUAACUGGAGGACCGAACCGACUAAUGUUGAAAAAUUAGCGGAUGACCUGUGGCUGGGGGUGAAAGGCCAAUCAAACCGGGAGAUAGCUGGUUCUCCCCGAAAGCUAUUUAGGUAGCGCCUCGUGAAUUCAUCUCCGGGGGUAGAGCACUGUUUCGGCUAGGGGGCCAUCCCGGCUUACCAACCCGAUGCAAACUGCGAAUACCGGAGAAUGUUAUCACGGGAGACACACGGCGGGUGCUAACGUCCGUCGUGAAGAGGGAAACAACCCAGACCGCCAGCUAAGGUCCCAAAGUCAUGGUUAAGUGGGAAACGAUGUGGGAAGGCCCAGACAGCCAGGAUGUUGGCUUAGAAGCAGCCAUCAUUUAAAGAAAGCGUAAUAGCUCACUGGUCGAGUCGGCCUGCGCGGAAGAUGUAACGGGGCUAAACCAU
rnacentral:rRNA from 1 species